rnacentral:lncRNA from 1 species
CAGAGGAGCAACAUCACCCGUUAGGGAAAGAAAAGAAUCAAUCCGGGGCAGAGGAGCCAGAGUACCUUAAUUAAGUGCCUGACACUGUGGGAUGUCUUCUUAGUGAGUCUAUGCCCAGUUAGUCUAUGUGGAUUGAUUUUGUGAUUACAUCUUGAAGUCCAGCCGCCAGGAGCCUUGAUAAAAUCUUUACAUCUACAUUAAUCAGGGAAACCAGGCCCAGAUCCAAAUGGUCCUCAGGCAGAGAGAAACCGAAGCUGAAAGCUGAGAACCAUCAAUCUCCAAAGCUGAGCUUUUUCAGAUGCUUUCUGAAAAUUGAGUAUGCUCAUGAUGUCCAGUGCAUCCCGUGAUUUCUAAAGGCUGGGGACUCAGGGAAUG